AUGACACUCGGUGCGGCGCGGGGAUCCCGGGCCGGCUCGGGCCUGUUUGAGGAGCGCAGCAGGGUGGUGCCGUGCGGGACGCCGUGGGGCCAGUGGUACCAGACGCUGGAGGAGGUGUUCAUGGAGGUGCAGGUGCCGCCGGGCACGCGCGCGCAGGACGUGCAGUGCGGCCUGCACAGCCGGCACGUGGCGCUGGCCGUGGGCGGACACGACAUCCUCAAGGGCAAGCUCUUCGAUUCCACAAUCGCGGAGGAAGGGACAUGGACUUUGGAAGAUAGAAAAAUGGUCCGCCUUGUUCUUACAAAGACAGAGACGCAGCCAACGGUUGGACUUCCCCUCUGGAAUCUGAGUACGCAGCCGAUCCCUGAGUGCAAGACCAAAUACAGAGAAAGCUUACGUUAGAGAGGUCCCAGAAAGAAAAUCCUGGCUUUGACUUCAGUGGAGCUGACAUCUCAGGAAACUACACAAAAGGAGGACCAGAUUUCUCAAACCUUGAGAAGUAACUGCAAUUCU